rnacentral:rRNA from 1 species
CCUAAUACAUGCAAGUCGAGCGGACUUGACAGAGCUUGCUCUGUUCAAGUUAGCGGCGGACGGGUGAGUAACACGUGGGCAACCUGCCCUGCAGAUUGGGAUAACUCCGGGAAACCGGGGCUAAUACCGAAUAAUAUCGAAGAUUUCAUGAUCUUCUUUUGAAAGACGGCUUUUGGCUGUCACUGCAGGAUGGGCCCGCGGCGCAUUAGCUAGUUGGUGAGGUAACGGCUCACCAAGGCGACGAUGCGUAGCCGACCUGAGAGGGUGAUCGGCCACACUGGGACUGAGACACGGCCCAGACUCCUACGGGAGGCAGCAGUAGGGAAUCUUCCGCAAUGGACGAAAGUCUGACGGAGCAACGCCGCGUGAGUGAUGAAGGUUUUCGGAUCGUAAAACUCUGUUGUCAGGGAAGAACAAGUACGGGAGUAACUGUCCGUACCUUGACGGUACCUGACCAGAAAGCCACGGCUAACUACGUGCCAGCAGCCGCGGUAAUACGUAGGUGGCAAGCGUUGUCCGGAAUUAUUGGGCGUAAAGCGCGCGCAGGCGGUCUUUUAAGUCUGAUGUGAAAGCCCACGGCUCAACCGUGGAGGGUCAUUGGAAACUGGAAGACUUGAGUGCAGAAGAGAAGAGCGGAAUUCCACGUGUAGCGGUGAAAUGCGUAGAGAUGUGGAGGAACACCAGUGGCCGAAGGCGGCUCUUUGGUCUGUAACUGAC